CGGUAGCACAGAGAGCUUGCUCUCCGGUGACGAGCGGCGGACGGGUGAGUAAUGUCUGGGAAACUGCCUGAUGGAGGGGGAUAACUACUGGAAACGGUAGCUAAUACCGCAUAACGUCGCAAGACCAAAGUGGGGGACCUUCGGGCCUCAUGCCAUCAGAUGUGCCCAGAUGGGAUUAGCUAGUAGGUGGGGUAAUGGCUCACCUAGGCGACGAUCCCUAGCUGGUCUGAGAGGAUGACCAGCCACACUGGAACUGAGACACGGUCCAGACUCCUACGGGAGGCAGCAGUGGGGAAUAUUGCACAAUGGGCGCAAGCCUGAUGCAGCCAUGCCGCGUGUGUGAAGAAGGCCUUCGGGUUGUAAAGCACUUUCAGCGGGGAGGAAGGCGUUAAGGUUAAUAACCUUGGCGAUUGACGUUACCCGCAGAAGAAGCACCGGCUAACUCCGUGCCAGCAGCCGCGGUAAUACGGAGGGUGCAAGCGUUAAUCGGAAUUACUGGGCGUAAAGCGCACGCAGGCGGUCUGUCAAGUCGGAUGUGAAAUCCCCGGGCUCAACCUGGGAACUGCAUUCGAAACUGGCAGGCUAGAGUCUUGUAGAGGGGGGUAGAAUUCCAGGUGUAGCGG
rnacentral:rRNA from 1 species